rnacentral:rRNA from 1 species
UACGUAGGGGGCAAGCGUUGUCCGGAAUCAUUGGGCGUAAAGAGCGUGUAGGCGGCCCGAUAAGUCCGCUGUGAAAGUCCAGGGCUCAACCCUGGAAUGCCGGUGGAUACUGUCGGGCUCGAAUCCGGAAGAGGUGAGUGGAAUUCCCGGUGUAGCGGUGAAAUGCGCAGAUAUCAGGAGGAACACCAAUGGCGAAGGCAGCUCACUGGGACGGUAUUGACGCUGAGACGCGAAAGCGUGGGGAGCAAACAGG